GCCGAGAUGGUGGAAUGGUAUACACGCAGGACUUAAAAUCCUGUGGUCCGAAGGACCGUGAGGGUUCGAGUCCCUCUCUCGGCA
rnacentral:tRNA from 1 species